UUGACUUGAUCAUCUCGAUAAAGUUACGUAAAUAGUGAGACUAGAAACUAAAUUUCUACAUUGAACGAUGAUAUGAGGCACAAGAAUGUACUAAAAUAAUAGCAUAAAGAACAGACGAUGAACCUUCAUUCUUUUAACGUGAUAUAUUUUUAAGUGCUAAGCAACGUAAUACUUACUCGAGGAAAUGUUUCCAUUUUUCGAGGCAAGAAAAUUAUAAACACGGUGAACUUGGUUGUAUCUUAAUCUAAUAAUCAGUGCAAUUUAAUCAUGGAAACUGCAGCUGAGCCCCUAUUAAAGCAGACUAAAAAUUAGAAUUUACCCUUCUUCAAGACAUUCAAACUCAAGGGUAGCUUUGUCCGUCUCUAUUUCACAUAUCACAUCCCCCACUUCUAUCUAUUAGAUCCAUUAAAAGUCAAGACAAAUAAAAUCACAGUUAGAAAUCAUCAAAACUUGGAUGUCUUUGUUCCAAGUCAACAGAUACUCUUCGCAGUUAUUUUUAAUUGGCAUCAUAUAUAUAAAUAAAAAGCCAUCCUAUCCUUGUUCAGAAAAUAACUACUUAAUGUGACGGACCUUAUCUCCCUUUCUUCUUCCACUUUGAAAUGUUACCUUGAGUCUGCAAGGAAAUUGACAUCCAAAAAUUAGAAAAACGUCAUGAACCUGGACAUCCAAAAAUUGACAGUCAAAUUCAAAUCUGUACACAACAAUUAGUCCAAGUGCAUACUGCCACGAUCAGGCAGACUUACAGAAAGAGAAAUAGUGGAAUAAACACCCACACAUCAGAAGAUGCAUACACAGGGAAGCACUCAUGUGUAUCACAUUUGAGUGGAUAUCAAGUUUAAUAUUUGAGUAGAAAUAGAGAAGAAAUAGAGAAGAGCCGAGGAAUACAAUAGGCAGGUCUCACCACAUGAGGCUUUUAUUAAGAGUCUUAAAGCUUACACUUCGAGCUUUCAUCUCUACUUCCUAAGGAGCACACCUCAUUGCAUAAGCCUAGGGUAACCACAUGUGCAUUCCUUUGUAUUGGCAUUUUGGGUUUUUUGUUAAUUGGCCUCAGCUUUUUGUGUUGUUUUUUCUUAAUAGAGAAUGUCUCAAGGGUUUUUUUCGGGCAUUUAAUAGAAUUGGAACUUAGACAAGAGAACAAUUGAAGAGGUAUGCCCUCUGAAGUGCAAUGAAAGCCACCCUAGGUGAAGUUGCAACUUUUCAGUAAGAAAUAGCUGAUGACUGGAGAACUGCUGCAAAUAAUUUCACUCUUUUCUUUUAUAUUAUUUUUUAUGGUUCCUUUGAGUCCUCGUUCACUUUUCUCAGGAUUUUCUUUCUUUUAAAUCUAAAGAAUCUGAAAAUUUCUCAAAUAGACAAACCCGCUUAAGGAGUUGCAAUAUAGAACUCAGAAAAAUCAUACCUAAAGAUGAGUAAUUUCGGACACCGCUCAGCAACUGUCAUUCACAUAAUCACAGUUAGGAAAAAAAUCAUUGGUGCAAUGUAAAUCAUCAAUGUAUUUUCACCACUAACCUUCAGCUUAGAAGAAAUGUAGUGAACUCUAUUGACCAUUGGAAAAGGAGUAGGCCUGAUAAACUUGCAUCAUUAGUAAAUCAUACGAUUGCAAAAAACUGAAAAUUACAAGUCCAGUUAAAUCAAUAUGUAUCUCCAACAACCAAUCCGACCCCAUGUACAGAAUCUAUUUCACAAUUUUUUUCCUGCCAAAUGAGGUAUCGACCCAGCUUCAUGCCACAUUACAAGUGCUGGGAAACUCUUUGCUAAUUUCCACACAAAGAUUUUGCCAAAUGCAAGCUGAACACUCCAGCAUAACUUUAGGUUUCUUUGAGAAACUAUUGUCUAGGAUCCACGUUUGGUAUGAAAUAAAAGAAGUUUAUUCAUGGGACAAUUUGUGAAAAUUUUAGAUUCCCAGGGCUAUUACGUACUUAGUUUUGAAGCUAAUAUGCUCAAUAACCAUCUGAAUAAUUCAGAUAUCUGAGAACUAAUAUCUAAUAUAUUAGAAAAAAGUUGUUCGUUGCCAUAUGGCAUUGGAUCGAUAAAGAACAACUUCAGAAACUCAAAUAACUCACUUCAAAAAUCCAACAUCAAAAAGGAAGAAAAUUCAAGUAAAAUUAUGUCGCGUCACUUUUGAGCUGCAUGACCAAAAUAAACAGGAGCAAAGAAAGGGGCAACAGAUAGGAAGUGUCAAGAUUCAAACCUUAACAAAGUGACCUCAACGUCAGCAUUAGAGAUCAGCAUCCUGGAACUACAGCAUCAAUAAUUUGACAUUAAACUAGUAUAUGAGAAAGUUAAGAUCUUUGUGAAAUUUAGAAGGCCUAUGACAAACAUUAAGAAGAUUGUGAUGGAGAUCAUAUGUGAUCUUCAGCAAAAACAAAAAUAGAAUGGUGUAAACUCAAAAAGUAUAUUAACAGAACUGCAUGUGACUAGCAAGGGAUGUUUUGCCUUCAUGCCCGAAAAUGUUUGAUAUUAAGGCAAGAGACAUAGGUAACAGACUGUUCAACAUUGUGUGUGGGAAAUCAUUUCGAAGAUGAUCAAGAGCCCCAUUAAAUGCUUGUUACCUAUAACGUGGGUCGUAUUUAUUGCGUAAGGUAAUGUGUGUUCACUAUCUACCUUAAGAUCAAAAGUUUUUAAAUAAGAACUGAACAUUCAAUUGACUUAAAAUGGUAUCAUGACUUAAUGCUAAAUUCACAGGAUCAGAUCUACUGGUUAGCGCCCAACCAUUUGCUUUUAUCAAUCCAUUACAUGAAAAAGAAAUCCAGGACAAGAGACACGAGUUCGUAUCUCCAAAUCCAGAAUUCAGCAAAGAAAAACUCUACAUAUAUACGGAGUUGGUGAAGUGGAAACAUUUACUUUCAAUAAAGUUCUGAGCUUCCUAGUACAACAGACAUAAUAUAAAUUCCCAGUGUAACUUUUUCUAGUCGGUAGGAGAAUAACCUUAUCAUUCUGAUAAUUGCCUUUUUCCAUCCAGAUUUUCCAAAGAAAUAAUAUCAAAGAUACCCCUAUGUUACCAUUUCCUAAGAAUUUCAAUUUACUCAUGUAAUGUAGACAACCUUCAUUCAUCGUCUUCCACAGCGUAAGAGAGUAAGAUCAAAAUAAGUGUCUUAUUAAUCACAAUAAGUUUCGCAUAGUCAGUGAUAUAUUAUUAAUUUAGCCUGGAAUGUGUGCAAAAUAUAUGUUCACGUUGCGUAAAAACUACUCUAUCAGAGAAAUUUCUCAACAAUAGGGGAAAAAAAUAGCAACCUUUGAGUCACAAAAAUUGGCGUUUGAAAGAAACACGGGCAACUUAAUUCUGAUACAUUGGAGAAUUAAUUCCCUAUAAUAAAUCUCAGAAAAUGAGAAUGGCUAUCAAGAAGAUAUUGCAUCUCUUGAGUGAGACUUGGACUUCUUUCAAUCAAGAUUUACAGUGUAAUCUUUUCUGCAUGUGACGUACAUCAAUAGAAGCAAUGUGUCGACGUCCUUCAAAUACAAAAUUAGAAGAACUAAUUUAAUCCCGUAUUUAAUUCGACUGCAUUAUUAGUGCUUGUACGAUAAGAAACACUGUUUCCUGGGUAGAAUAUUAUAAUUGAGCAUUUUUAAGUACUCUAUGCGGCUUGCCUUUGACCAUAUAUGUAUGUAUGUAUAUACGGUCAUUAUUCAAAUACAAAUUACAACUUAGAGAAGUAAUUUAAGUAUUAAUUCCAAAUACGAGUAAAGUAUUGGUGUUUAUAAAAAUAAGAAUCGAUGUUUCCUGAGUACAGCAUUAUAAUUGGAUAUUUUUUUAGUAAUCAUAUAUGCGACUCGCCUUUGACCAUUUCACCAACCAUUCGAUCUCGUUUUCAAAUUUUCGCUUAAAUUGAAAUGAAUAAUUCUUUCACAAUCAACGAAAUGUACUGAUCCAAAUGCAGGUAGAAAAACAAAGAUUUACAAAAACACGCUACAGAAGGAGAGAGAGCACCGAUAGAAUGAUAUAUGAGUGGAAGAGAAAUAGAGAAAACGAGCCCUAAUCAACAAAGGGGCUCGAGAGAUCACCGGAUGUCGAAGCCUCGACAACGCCAUGGAUCAAUCACCCGCUGAAUUUCACCUUUAAUGCUUUCUUUUCCGAUAUCAGAAAGGGUGACCUGUGCCUAAGGUUGAUGACCAGAAUAGGCUAAGGUCAAAAUGUGCAAUUUUUUCAUAUUUUGUUCGAAGUUUAGAAGGGGAAUAGGAUCCUUUUAGAAACUUAGUGCGGGGUCGGUGAUCUGAACCGGGGUGGGCGUUAGGGUGGCGGUGGCGGUGGCGGUGGCGGCGGCGGGGCCGUCGCGGGCUUCUCACUAGCAACUAAGCCCCGCCACCGGGCUUCUCACUAUGGACUUGAUGUGAUGCAAUAAUUUGCGACUCAAAAUUGAGGAGUCUGUUUCACUUGGAUUUAACGUUUCAAUGUAUACAAGAUAUAGUCAAUGUCAAAUUCGAAUAAAG
rnacentral:lncRNA from 1 species